rnacentral:rRNA from 1 species
GAUGAACGCUGGCGGCGUGCCUAAUACAUGCAAGUCGAGCGAACAGACGAGGAGCUUACUCCUCUGACGUUAGCGGCGGACGGGUGAGUAACACGUGGAUAACCUACCUAUCAGACUGGGAUAACUUCGGGAAACCGGAGCUAAUACCGGAUAACAUGUUGAACCGCAUGGUUCAACAGUGAAAGACGGUCUUGCUGUCACUUAUAGAUGGAUCCGCGUCGCAUUAGCUAGUUGGUAAGGUAACGGCUUACCAAGGCAACGAUGCGUAGCCGACCUGAGAGAGUGAUCGGCCACACUGGAACUGGAACACGGUCCAGACGCCUACGGGAGGCAGCAGAAGGGAAUCUGCCGCAAUGGGCGAAAGCCUGACGGAGCAACGCCACGUGAGUGAAGAAGAUCUUCGGAGCGUAAAACUCUGUUAUUAGGGAAGAACAAAUGUGUAAGUAACUAUGCACGUCUUGACGGUACCUAAUCAGAAAGCCACGGCUAACUACGUG